CUCACUGGUCGAGCGUCUCUGCGCGGAAAUUUUAACGGGGCUAAGAUACAAACCGAAGCUUAGGCUGCAUACGGAAGUAUGCGGGGUAGGGGAGCGUUGUGUAAGCGGAGAAACAGUAGCGUAAGCGGCUGUGGAGUUUACAGAAGUGAGAAUGCCGGAAUGAGUAGCGCGAAUGAUGUGAGAAUCAUCAUGGCCGGAAACCUCAGGUUUUUGGAGGAAGGUUCGUCCGCUCCAAGUUAGGCGGGAGCUAAGGUGAGGCCGAAAGGCGUAGCCGAUGCACAGACGGUAGAGAUUCCGUCCCCACCGAAAGAUUUAAGCGCAGGGACACU
rnacentral:rRNA from 1 species